CAUCUUCGCCAACCUCUUUCCCGCAG
rnacentral:piRNA from 1 species